UACGGGGGGAGCAAGCGUUGUUCGGAUUUACUGGGCGUAAAGGGCGCGUAGGCGGUCGUGACAAGUCACUUGUGAAAUCUCCGGGCUUAACUCGGAACGGUCAAGUGAUACUGUCGGACUUGAGUACAGAAGGGGCAACUGGAAUUCUCGGUGUAGCGGUGAAAUGCGUAGAUAUCGAGAGGAACACCUGCGGCGAAGGCGGGUUGCUGGGCUGAUACUGACGCUGAGGCGCGAAAGCCAGGGGAGCGAACGGG
rnacentral:rRNA from 1 species